UCAAGAGAACAGAAAGAGAGGAAGUUGCCCGUUCCCCUGGGCCUCUCAUAGUGCCCCAUGCCAGAGCAAACUGUGGCCCUGAACCAUUGCCUGGCCUCUGUGUCCAUAGGCUGCUGGCACUGAAGUGGGUUGCACAGAG